UCUGCCCAAGCCGAAGGAGCUGAA
rnacentral:misc_RNA from 1 species